AGAUACGCGCAGAACCUUACCAACACUUGACAUGUUCGUCGCGACUCUAAGAGAUUAGAGUUUUCGGUUCGGCCGGACGAAACACAGGUGCUGCAUGGCUGUCGUCAGCUCGUGUCGUGAGAUGUUGGGUUAAGUCCCGCAACGAGCGCAACCCUCACUUUUAGUUGCCAUCAUUAAGUUGGGCACUCUGAAAGAACUGCCAGUGAUAAGCUGGAGGAAGGUGGGGAUGACGUCAAGUCCUCAUGGCCCUUACGUGUUGGGCUACACACGUGCUACAAUGGCAUCUACAACAGGAAGCAAAACGGCAACGUUAAGCAAAUCCCGAAAAGAUGCCUCAGUUCGGAUUGCACUCUGCAACUCGAGUGCAUGAAGCUGGAAUUACUAGUAAUCGUGGAUCAGCGUGCCACGGUGAAUGCGUUCCCGGGUCUUGUACACACCGCCCGUCACANCCAUGGGAGUUGGUUCUACCUUAAGGCAAGGUNUNAA
rnacentral:rRNA from 1 species